rnacentral:rRNA from 1 species
UACGGGGGGGGCAAGCGUUGUUCGGAAUUACUGGGCGUAAAGGGCGCGUAGGCGGGUGAACAAGUCUCUCGUGAAAGCCCACGGCUCAACCGUGGAAUUGCGGGAGAUACUGUCUGACUUGAGUCCGGGAGAGGAGGGUGGACUUUCCAGUGUAGCGGUGAAAGGCGUAGAUAUUGGACGGAACACCGGUGGCGAAGGCGGCUCUCUGGACCGGUACUGACGCUGAGGCGCGAAAGCUAGGGGAGCAAACGGG